rnacentral:rRNA from 1 species
UACGUAGGGCGCAAGCGUUGUCCGGAAUUACUGGGCGUAAAGCGCGCGUAGGUGGUUUGUUAAGUUGGAUGUGAAAGCCCCGGGCUCAACCUGGGAACUGCAUCCAAAACUGGCAAGCUAGAGUACGGUAGAGGGUGGUGGAAUUUCCUGUGUAGCGGUGAAAUGCGUAGAUAUAGGAAGGAACACCAGUGGCGAAGGCGACCACCUGGACUGAUACUGACACUGAGGUGCGAAAGCGUGGGGAGCAAACAGG